CCUACGGGGGGCAGCAGUGAGGAAUAUUGGGCAAUGCCCGCAAGGGUGACCCAGCAACGCCGCGUGGAGGAUGAAGGCCGUAAGGUUGUAAACUCCUGUUAGAGGAGAAGAAUAGUACCGAUUGGAUCGGUAUUUGACUGUACCCUCAGAGAAAGCCCCGGCUAACUACGUGCCAGCAGCCGCGGUAAUACGUAGGGGGCAAGCGUUGUCGGGAGUUACUGGGUGUAAAGGGCGCGAGUAAGGGAGAGUAGAAAUCCUACAGCUUAACUGUAGAACUGCCUUUGAGACUGUUAUUCUUGAGUUCGGGAGAGAGAGACGGAAUUCCAGGUGUAGUGGUGAAAUACGUAGAUAUCUGGAAGAACACCAGUUGCGAAGGCGGUCUCUUGGUCCGAUACUGACGCUGAGGCGCGAAAGCGUGGGGAGCAAACAGGAUUAGAUACCCUGGUAGUC
rnacentral:rRNA from 1 species